rnacentral:rRNA from 1 species
UACGUAGGGUGCAAGCGUUAAUCGGAAUUACUGGGCGUAAAGCGUGCGCAGGCGGUUGUGCAAGACAUAUGUGAAAUCCCCGGGCUUAACCUGGGAAUUGCAUUUGUGACUGCACGGCUAGAGUGUGUCAGAGGGGGGUAGAAUUCCACGUGUAGCAGUGAAAUGCGUAGAUAUGUGGAGGAAUACCGAUGGCGAAGGCAGCCCCCUGGGAUAACACUGACGCUCAUGCACGAAAGCGUGGGGAGCAAACAGG